AUUGAACGCUGGCGGCAGGCUUAACACAUGCAAGUCGAGCGAGUGGCGGACGGGUGAGUAAUGUCUGGGAAACUGCCUGAUGGAGGGGGAUAACUACUGGAAACGGUAGCUAAUACCGCAUACCAUCAGAUGUGCCCAGAUGGGAUUAGCUUGUGGGUGGGGUAAUGGCUCACCAAGGCGACGAUCCCUAGCUGGUCUGAGAGGAUGACCAGCCACACUGGAACUGAGACACGGUCCAGACUCCUACGGGAGGCAGCAGUGGGGAAUAUUGCACAAUGGGCGCAAUCCUGAUGCAGCCAUGCCGCGUGUAUGAAGAAGGCCUUCGGGUUGUAAAGUACUUUCAGCGGGGAGGCGUUACUCGCAGAAGAAGCACCGGCUAACUCCGUGCCAGCAGCCGCGGUAAUUC
rnacentral:rRNA from 1 species